GUCCACGCCCUAAACUAUGAAUACUCGGUCUUGGCGAUAUACAGUCAGGGCCCAAGCGAAAGCGUUAAGUAUUCCACCUGGGAAGUACGUUAGCAAGAAUGAAACUCAAAGGAAUUGACGGGGGCCCGCACAAGCGGAGGAGCAUGUGGUUUAAUUCGAUGAUACGCGAGAAACCUUACCUGGGCUUGAAUGUGAGUGACCGGUGCCGAAAGGUACUUUUCCCGCAAGGGACACAAAACAAGGUGCUGCAUGGCUGUCGU
rnacentral:rRNA from 1 species